UCGGCACUGACCGCUCUGCCACCGGAUCUCUCAGCUCGGCCUGCGAGGCAGCCUCCGUAGAGAUUCCGAGCACAGACUCUGGGACGAGGCUGCCCGGGUUUGAACCCAGGUUCCGCCACUUACCGGCUGUGCACCGUGGGGCAGGCUGUAACGAGCCCUAUACCCACCCCUCCCAGGGUGCUGCGAGAAUUAAGUGAAUAAAUCGACACGAAGCGGACGCGUUCAGUUCGGGCUGUGUGUUCCCGGCUCUUGUCAAUGCGCCGUCGGCGCGGCACUCGUGUGGACGCGUCCCGCGUGGGGCCGGGCGGUGUCGGCGGUGGGGUUCGGAAGCCGGGCGUGCUGCAGCCGUCGGGGCUGCGGGCGGUGGUCCGUGCGGCCGACUCGGCCGCGGGAGCUGAGGGGCAGUGAGCAGCGGACAGGGCGGCAGUCGGCUCUACUCUGCGCUCGGAGGCACAGGGCGAGAGAAGGCUGUUACCAGAGAGGGCCGCCUGUAGCUCAUUACAGUGCGGAGUUUACAGAAGAUGCCAGAGAAGUUAGGAGGAGGGAGAGCUUGGGUGUCUAGCCCGGUGGCUCCCCGUCCAGCCUGUGGCCUGGGGUCAAGCUUCCACCGGCUCAGGCCUAAAGAAAACCGCGUUUGAACGAGCUUCCUGUGUGUGCCGGGCACUGGCCUAAAGCUUUAUGUAUUCGUCCGUUACCCUCAUAAUCCUGGAGGUGGGUUUCAUGCCGGUUUCAUAAGAAAAAGACAUUUUAAAGUCCGGCUUCUUGGUUCCUUUUCUAGAUACAAUUCUAGACAUUGAAAAGUACAUCUUGAAAAGGCCUAGAAAGAAUGCGGUGUAUCGUUAUUCUGACAUUACAUGUAGAAAAUCGCAGGCCAGGGGGAGGUGACUUACCCACAACCCCGUCCCUAGGAAGUCGGGGGCCAGGAUCCCUGUCUGCAGCCGGGCUGGCAGCCCUGCGCUCCUGGCCACAGCUCUUGUCAGCUUUUCCACAACGCUGCAUUUGCUCAACAGACACAACUGUUCAAAGGACUUUUCUAAAAUUACAUUAGAGGACAGUUGCUUUUUAAAAGAAUAAAAAAUUGGCAGCCUCUGCCCUUCCUUGUCCAUAAAAUUCAAGAUAUCCCUUUUUAUUUUAUAGAUAAGAAACUAAGACACCGGGAGAGAUAGCUUACCUAUGCAUUUUUCAUCCAGGCAUUCUGAUCAUUUUUCCACUGGUUUUAUUGGAUCUUGGAAAAUGGGCAAAGGGAAGGUCUUUCAUCCACACUUCUGCUGUUGCCCUGCAGCGCGCACACCCUGGCCGAGGCUGGGAGAAGUGAACCGCGUUGUUGUAAUUCAGUAGUUCCCCACAGUUCCCACAAAAUGCCCAGAUGGGCUGUGGGCCAUACAAGGCAUCUGCGGGUGUCAUUUCUAAUCACUCACUGUGUAUUGUAUUUCAGAGUUUGGUCUAUAUUUUAAAUUGAAAUCUAGACCCUGCCACACAUUCAUAAUUUCAGAACUGAAGGUAUUUUUAAAGACCUAGCCCCCGUCCCCUGCGUGGGCCUGCCUCAGUGGACCCGUGCACUCAGCCUCUGACCCUGUGGGCUGUUGCACCUUCCUGCAGGCGUUCCUUUGGGGGACAUCGUGUUGUUGUUGUUGCAGGUUAGACCCGCAGCUGAAACAACUACAAAUAAAAUAUGAUGAACUUAAGGAGAGAAGAGCUUCCCUGAGGAAUGCAGCGUGUUUCUUAUCGAACCUAAAACAGCUUCAUCAAGAUUAUUUGGAUAUUCAAGAGAAAGAACCUUAUGUAAAGGAAACGUAUGAUUCAUCCAGCCUUCCAGCUCUGUUACUCAAAGCGAGAACCCUUCUGGGAGCUGGAAACCACCUACAAAAUAUCAACCAUCAAUUAGAGAAGCUCCUGGACCAGAAAGACCGGUCUACUGGAACGUGACUCUACACAGACCAGUCCCCUGCUCCUGCUGUUGCCUCUGACACUGUCCUUUUGUAAAUAAACAUGGAGACGUUAGACUUGUCUUGUACCUCAGGCUGGCUUGUCACCAAACUUUACUAUUACUUUGUUCGUGGUCCGUUGGUUUGAGUGACCACGUUAAGCAGCAAGUUUGAUUGUAUAAGUGGUCUCAGAGGCCACGUUCCAGACGCUAACCGACCAGACGCUGACCGACAAGAGUUCUAACCUGAAUCGGCAGAGGGCGGCGUUCUGAGACGGCACAGAAAGACCCUGAACUCGCCGAAUGUACAGCAGUUCCCCCUGCAGAACACCCAAGGCCUGACGGAAGCGCCGCUGCACAGACGCCGGGGGACCCCACGGUGAGAGAUGGACGCGCGGUGACGGUGGGAACCCCUAGCCUGAAGUGAUGGCCCGCAGCAGGAGGACGAACACUGAGGGGCCUACAUGCCGACUUGCCAGCCCGGGGCGCACAGCAAAAAAAAAAAAAAAAUCCAAAACCAAAAUAUCAGUCUGAAGGACAAAGAGACUUGUUACUAAACCGUCUUCAGGCCAAAUCACAGCCGGUUACGUAAGAGUCCGCGGCUAAUGAGCUACUCUUGUAAUACCUGCGUGAUCGGUUCAUCGGGGACCAGCGUCUCCGCCGCAGUACCGAGCAGACCGCACUCUGCAGCUUCGGCCAGUUCGGCAUCUUCAGCAGCUUCCACAAAGUCAGCCUCGUCAAGGCCACUGUCCCAGGCGGCAUCGGAAAUGGCAUCUUUUGACGACAGACCCGAUGGCGGCUCAUGAGGAUUCUGGGUGUCACUGUUCAUGGUUUCAGCUGCCGUGAACUCUUCUUCCUUUGGUUGGAAAGGGGAAGGUGGGGGAGAGUGUGAAAGGGAGAAAAUACAGGUCGGUCAAGGAGAAUAUGUGCUGCUCUCACUCGACAGUCUAUGUUAAAUUAAGGUACUCGGUAUAAGAUCAGUUCUUGCACAGACACUAAAUAUUCUGGAUGAUACUGUCUCUAAGACAGUCGCCAUGGGAAUGAGUUCAUUGAUUCAAAUGUUGCUGCCACCGUAGCUCAGAUACUCGAAACUCUAAAUCUGGAAAUGCCCCCCACCCCAGUACGUUUUUUUCAAUAUACACAGAUGGGGCUAGAUGGGUAGAUUGAAUUUUUUAUAAAGCAGAUAAUCCAGCUGAAGGCAAACUGGAAAGUCUAUCUGCAAUCUUAAAAGGCUGAUUUUUCUAUUUAUAAAAUAUUUUAAGAAUAACAUGAAUUUAAAAACUGUUAAAAACAGUUGAGACAACUGGCAAGAUAGUAUGGAUUUGCAUAUUAGAUAACAGUAUUGUAUCAACAUUCAAUUUCCUGAAUUUUAAAAUUUUACCAUAUUCAUUUAAGAAUAUCCUUAAGCUAAAUAUCUCUAGCUACAUGCUUAAACGUGAAGAGAUGUAGGGUUCUGAUGGCUGCAAAUUCCCCUCAAGAGAUUUGUGAUGGACUGAAUGUAUUACCCCACAUUCCUGAGUUGAAAUCUUAACCCCCGAUGUCAUGGUAUUAGGAAGGACGCUGUUGGGAGGCGAUUAGGUCUUGAGGGUACAGCCCUCAUGACUGGGAUCAGUAACCUUAUAAAAGGGACCCCAGAGACCUCCUUCAUCCCUGUGACGGAGGGUGGGGGUGGGGGGGGCGGCGAGAAGAUGGCUAUGACCCAGACAGCGACCGGGCACCAGAUCGGCCAGUGCCCUGAGCUCAGACUUCCAGCCGCAGAACUGUGAGAAAGGAACUUCUGUGGUUCAUAAGCCAUCCAGUGUAUGGUAUCGUGUUAUAGCAGCCUGAAUGGACUAAAACAAAAAGUCAUCCAAAAAUAACAACGUGCGCCCGAACAGCAGAGGGAGAAAACAAACAUGGCCAAGUGUUGACGAUGGCAAAUCUAGGUGAAUGGAGAGCGUGCUGUCCUUGGACAAUAUUUCUAUAGGGGGAAAAUACCAGAAAUGUUUAAAAAACUAAGAUGAUCAAUGCAACAGAAAAACAGGUAACUAACACUGACUGGUAAUUCAUUUUAAAAUACUAAAAGCAAAAAAGCCAGAGGAAGCAGAAAUGCAAAAUAUAAACUGUUAAAACGAUGUGACAGGUACAUGGGAAUUCAUUAAGCUGUUCCAUCUUUUAUUAAUUUUCUACUUUAAAUAAUAAAAAAAAGUUCUGUCCGAGCAGCGGUAAUACAACAUACCAAAAUACUUUCAACUUGGCAUUACUGGAUAAGCAGAAAAAGCCAUUUUUAAAAAUUCACUGACACCACAAAAACAUGCAUCAAAAUCAGCCUCCAAACACACAAGGAUGACAUACACCUCCUCUUAGAGGCAAAGUUUAUUUAAAAGAUUUAAUUUUCUCUUGGGUAUUUCAGGAACAUUUUAACCUAAUAGUGUACCAGGGAAGCUGGCUGUCAGCUACGUUGGUCCAGCUCCUGUCUAUCUUAGAUGUAUGAAUUUUUUCCAGAGACAGUUUUCGGUCCAAUCGAAUGGGUAGCAGACCAUUAUCUAGAAUGUAGACUGAGCACUUAGCCUGUAGCACGUAACUUUCAUUCUAACCAGAACACUAGAAAGGAAAAGGCUGAUAGAUGUGGGAAAAAAGAACACUAAAAUGUUCAUUCUAGAAAAUAACCUGAUCAAAGAGUUAAUAAAAAGUUCCCGUAAAAUAUCAAUAAGACCUCAGAGAAAAGUGGACAGAGGUCAGCCACU